rnacentral:tRNA from 1 species
UGGCGGUGUGCCCGAGCGGCCAAAGGGAGCAGACUGUAAAUCUGCCGGCUCAGCCUACCCAGGUUCGAACCCUGGCGCCGCCACAUU